rnacentral:rRNA from 1 species
UGGGGAAUUUUGGACAAUGGGGGAAACCCUGAUCCAGCCAUGCCGCGUGAGUGAAGAAGGCCUUCGGGUUGUAAAGCUCUUUCAGCCGGAACGAAACGGUCACGGUUAAUACCCGUGAUCACUGACGGUACCGGAAGAAGAAGCACCGGCUAACUACGUGCCAGCAGCCGCGGUAAUACGUAGGGUGCGAGCGUUAAUCGGAAUUACUGGGCGUAAAGCGUGCGCAGGCGGUUUUGUAAGUCAGAUGUGAAAUCCCCGGGCUCAACCUGGGAACUGCGUUUGAAACUACAAGGCUAGAGUGUAGCAGAGGGGGGUGGAAUUCCACGUGUAGCAGUGAAAUGCGUAGAUAUGCGGAGGAACACCGAUGGCGAAGGCAGCUCCCUGGGCUAACACUGACGCUCAUGCACGAAAGCGUGGGGAGCAAACAGGAUUAGAUACCCUGGUAGUCCACGCCCUAAACGAUGUCAACUAGUUGUCGGGNCUUAACGGGCUUGGUAACGUAGCUAACGCGUGAAGUUGACCGCAUGGGGAGUACGAUCGCAACAUUA